ACUCAUGGAUGGUUUGCUCAAGUCAAAAGGGGAAGAUCCCAUAGAACUAAAGUGAGUCUAUGCUUAGAUUUACCAAUGUUGUCAAGGUGAUAAUUGAUGAUGUCGUAUAUUGAUUUCCAUGUAGGAUUGCUCAAAUACCCGGGUGCAUUUUGUGUGCAAUUCUAGGAGUUAUGGUUGAUGUGCCUUUUGUAACUGUAAUAGUUCUUUACAAGACUCCAAUCAUGUUGUUCAAAGGAUGGCACCGGCUGGUACAAGAUCUUAUUGGAAGAGAAGGGCCUUUCUUGGAAACUGUUUGUGUCCCCUUUGCCAGGCUUCUGAUUUUGUUGUGGCCAGCUGCUGUUAUUUUGUCUACCUUUGCAGGGAUUGUCUCGAGCUUCUUCUUUGGAUGUUAUGCUGCUGUUGUUGCAUAUCAGGAAAGUUCGACCAAGAACGGAUUGCUCUAUGUAGUUGCUUCUGUAUCCUUGUUUGAUGAGUACACCAACAACUUCCUUUACCUCCAAGAAGGGUCCUGCUUUCCAAGGUGAUAACUUCAAUACAGUACAACAAAAAGUCUUUUCCAGUCUUUGCUAACCUCAUUUAUUAGAUAUAAUGUAACUAUAUUUUCUUUAAUAUAAUUCAUCAAGACCUAACUAUCGGGAUGAAGCAACUACCUCUUCUUCACUGCUUCCCAUAAAGGGAUUACAUCAGCAACUUGACAGUUUUCGCAACAAGGAACCUUUGUUAAGGAUAUCCUCUGAGAAGAAAAAGACACUCAGUGCUGUAGUGAUAUGGAAUAACUUCAUCAAAGCGUGCGAGCAUAUUGGGAAAGAGCUCCUCAGAGAUGAAGUCAUUGGGAUAUCGGAUCUGGAGGCAUGGCAACAUUCAAAAACCAAGAUAUUCAACAUCGGAAUUCCUGCUUAUGUAUUUCUCGAGUGCUUUCUCCGCUCCAUCAAGAGUGGUUCCCCUGGAUUUGUGAUGCGUAUGCCUUUGCUUAAAUCCGGCAUACUAUCUAUCAAUUGUUUUAUAAUGCCAAUUCGAAUGUGGAAAGGAUGUCUAAUGCCAUUUGAGCAAAGACUUCAGAUCUUCCUAGUACAAAGCCUUUUCCCAAGAAACUUUGGGGGAG